CACAAUGGCCAGUCUUUCUCUUUGAGCAUCAGUGCAAGGUCACAAUGACUAGUCCUUCUCUUUGGUGCUGGCAGCAUCAACAUUAGCCCACAAUGGCCAGUAUCCUUCUCUCCAUGAAAUGAGCAGCAGAGGCAUGCUGGGACACAGCCUUCUCUCUCUAUCCUAGUUUCAAGCUUCAGAGAAUUGGAUCUCUCCCCCGGUGGCAGUAAUUAAGCAGAUCAAAUGGAAGGAGCGUUCUUACUGGUACCUGUUGGUGAUGAUGAUAGCUGAACACAAGGGGAUGGGCUGUGUCAUAGUGACACUCUAUUAAUGGUGGCCACUGAGAACAAUUACGCGGGAAGUGAUAACAGCAAUGUUUCUACACAGACUCCUAUCCUUAUUAAAGGAAUAAUUGCUAUUUAA